ACGUGGGUGACCUACCUUCGAGUGGGGGAUAACGUCCCGAAAGGGACGCUAAUACCGCAUAACAUCCUGCCUUUGAACAGGCGGAGAUCAAAGCCGGGGAUCGCAAGACCUGGCGCUUGAUGAGGGGCCCGCGUCCGAUUAGCUAGUUGGUGGGGUAAUGGCUCACCAAGGCGACGAUCGGUAACCGGCCUGAGAGGGCGGACGGUCACACUGGGACUGAGACACGGCCCAGACUCCUACGGGAGGCAGCAGUGGGGAAUUGUUCGCAAUGGGCGCAAGCCUGACGACGCAACGCCGCGU
rnacentral:rRNA from 1 species